rnacentral:rRNA from 1 species
GACAGAGGAUGCAAGCGUUAUCCGGGAUGAUUGGGCGUAAAGCGUCUGUAGGUGGCUUUUUAAGUCUGCCGUCAAAUCCCAGGGCUUAACCCUGGACAGGCGGUGGAAACUACCAAGCUGGAGUACGGUAGGGGCAGGGGGAAUUUCCGGUGGAGCGGUGAAACGCGUAGAGAUCGGAAAGAACACCAACGGCGAAAGCACUCUGCUGGGCCGACACUGACACUGAGAGACGAAAGCUAGGGGAGCGAAUGGG